GGCCUAACACAUGCAAGUCGAGCGGUAGAGAGAAGCUUGCUUCUCUUGAGAGCGGCGGACGGGUGAGUAAUGCCUAGGAAUCUGCCUGGUAGUGGGGGAUAACGUUCGGAAACGGACGCUAAUACCGCAUACGUCCUACGGGAGAAAGCAGGGGACCCUUCGGGCCUUGCGCUAUCAGAUGAGCCUAGGUCGGAUUAGCUAGUUGGUGAGGUAAUGGCUCACCAAGGCGACGAUCCGUAACUGGUCUGAGAGGAUGAUCAGUCACACUGGAACUGAGACACGGUCCAGACUCCUACGGGAGGCAGCAGUGGGGAAUAUUGGACAAUGGGCGAAAGCCUGAUCCAGCCAUGCCGCGUGUGUGAAGAAGGUCUUCGGAUUGUAAAGCACUUUAAGUUGGGAGGAAGGGCAGUAAAUUAAUACUUUGCUGUUUUGACGUUACCGACAGAAUAAGCACCGGCUAACUCUGUGCCAGCAGCCGCGGUAAUACAGAGGGUGCAAGCGUUAAUCGGAAUUACUGGGCGUAAAGCGCGCGUAGGUGGUUUGUUAAGUUGAAUGUGAAAUCCCCGGGCUCAACCUGGGAACUGCAUCCAAAACUGGCAAGCUAGAGUAUGGUAGAGGGUGGUGGAAUUUCCUGUGUAGCGGUGAAAUGCGUAGAUAUAGGAAGGAACACCAGUGGCGAAGGCGACCACCUGGACUGAUACUGACACUGAGGUGCGAAAGCGUGGGGAGCAAAC
rnacentral:rRNA from 1 species